rnacentral:ncRNA from 1 species
CAUAGGCAGUGGCUUGGUUAAGGGAUCUUACUGAAGCCGUAGAAAAAGCGAGUCCGUAAUCGUCCCUGCUUAUGGACCCAAAUCUAGGUGAUAUAUCGAUGAAAAGGAUGAAUCUUGGGUGAAAUAAGUUGCUGUCUGAACUGAUUGAUGUUGAAGAAUCAGCGGAUGACAUGUAGUUACGGGUGAAAUACGACUCGAACCCAGAGCUAGAUGG